AUUAAUAGAUGUGUGAUAUAUAAUUAAUGUAACUAAAUUUGUUAUAUAGUUAUAGUUGUAUAUACAAUAUUAUGUUAUACUAUGGUAUAUAUAUAGUAUAUAUAUUAUAUAAAAUAUAUAAUAUAGUAUAUCACAUUAAAAGAUUGAAAAAAUAAUUGCACAAUGUGGUGAUGUGCAAUAGGUUAUGUAAAUUGCCAUCGCUCUGUUCAGAAUGUCUUGUGUGUUAACCGGAUGCUGCAUUCACGCAACCUCGUAAUUACUGUAAUCUUUAGAUGACAACACGUGACGUUAUAUUCGGAGCUGUUCAAGUCCUCUGACUGGGAAUUAUACGUUUCUAUGGCACCACUAUCAACGCCGAAUCUACAGUGAUCAGGUGGUACAGCGGCCUCGUGGUACAUGUGGGAGCUUUUAGAAAACUCCCAGCUUACAAGCUGUAAUUACGAGCUCUAAGAGGACGUGAACGCUUUUUAGGUGCUAGAGUCUCGUAGUUACAAUUACAUAUUUUUCUGGUCAUGCAAACACCUCAGCCUGUUUGUAUUAUGUAGAAAAAAAUCCUGGAACAAUUUUCUGUCCCAAACUCUUGAAUUUCAGUAGAAGCCUUGCAUGUCAGUACUUUCAGUUUCAUUCUGAAUGCAUUUACUUUGAUAUUAUUGAUAGAGGGAGGAGAUGUUAUUCCUUAGCCAUAAGAUUUCAGUCUCUGCUGAAGGUAAUUAGCUUUCACUGGUUUGAAGAGGUGCUUGAGGACUGGACAAAGACUACAUCUCCAAUAAUGAACCAUCAGCUAAGCAAAUGUUAUUUCAAGAAAGAAGAACCUCAUUUACAGAUGAGCAACGCAUUGCUUCCAUCAUACCAUAACAAUACUGUCCAGAUAGCCAUGCACAAGCCAAGAAAUGGUGUAAUGACUCACUACCGCAACAAUAUGCAGGAUGGCAUUCAAACAUAUUCUAUGGAAAUCCGGAAGGAGGGCAGAACUGUCGCCCGUGAAGAAGUCAAUAUUUAUUCAACAAAUUAAAAGUCAGACUUUUUAUUUUUUAAUGGAACUAGAUUACAGUGUUCCAUUUGAAAUAGAAAGAAUAUACAAUUUUGGUGGGUCUCUUUUAAUAUAAUCUAGUUGAUUUUUGUUAUCAAUAUGAAUCAUUAAUAUAGAAUGUAAAAUGUGACAUCUAAGAUUUAAAAAUAAAUAAAUAAAUAAAAACCCUAAGAAACGCUGAACUGCUUCAAGAUUAUACAAUGUUAGCAGACAAAACAUGCUGUUAAUCUUCAAUAAUUUUUUCUAUUUUGUGAACAAUUUGAAGUGAAACUGAAUAAAUGGAUAAAUCAAACUAAUUUGUGUAUUUGUUUAUUUUAAAUCCUGAAUGAAAGACUUGCACCAUUUAUAGAUCCCACUUUACAUGUCAAACAUUUAAAUUAUAUGGGUUUGGUCUCUAUGCGGCCAACAUAGUUGUAACUUAAAUUAGCACUGCAACAGCCGAGUUGGGAGGUUCACCCUCAGGCCCGACCCGCUGACUCAGGCCUGGGGUAUGAUUUGGCAUUUGGUCAGUUGUUUGUCAAUUGUUUGUAGGGCGACAAGAAGAUCACUUUCAGAUAUGAUUCCAAAGUUCUUAACCUUAUUAUUGACUUGAUAAACAGUCAAGAUAUGGAGCUAUAGAGUUUCUCUAACCGUCAUUACCAGUAACAAGUAAUUCAGUCUUAUCUUUAUUAAGGUGUAUAACAUUUUAAAACUAUCUAUGCAGUCCAUUCGUCAGGAUUAUGUUACGUUUAGUUUUUAUUUAGGCCUUGUGUUUCCUUUCAGUUUUGUUCUUGUUUGCAUUAGUUAUUAAUUAGUUUCACCUGUGUCAAGUUUAGUUGCCUUUGUUUGUCUCCUGUUUAUAUAACCUUGUGUCUCUGGCCCCAUCCACACGGAGACGAGUUUAGCUGUAUACACAAAAC